GCUAGCGUCUAGGCCCUCUAGACGCAAGCAGAUGCAGCAGCAGCAGCAGCUGCUGCUGCACUUGUUGCUUCU